CGCCGCAGUCGCGGAGACGGAGGAUGCAUUGCAGCGCGCUCGCCGAGUCGAGGAGCUGCCCACGGCGGUCGACGAGGGUUAGAUGGAGCAGAGCUCAAAGAGGUGCAUGGUGUAGAACAGUAGGUACGGAGUACAAGGGAAAGGCUGGGAGUAUUGCAUUACCAGCGGUUGUAGACUGGCCAUGGACUUGAAUCAUGGUGACCAGGAUGAGCAGCAGCGCCAGGAUCCAUGUAAACUCCAUGCUCGCCGAGGAACUGAAGCUGGUCGCCAUGGUUCUCUCUCGCAAUUUUUUGGAAGCAAGAAACAACCGUCCGGUACAAAGGACUUGUGCAACUAUAUAGCAAGGAAAACACCAAACGCGGUGUACUGUUUUUAUCUUAAAAUGGUUUGUUGGGGGAUUUGAGUUUUUAGUUUGACUUGGGCUUGGCUUUCAA